CUGAUUCGCGGUGCUCAGAAGAAAGGUGGCAGGAAUGCUAACGCUGGCAAGCAAGUUGAAGCAGGAUGAUGGUCUCAAAGGAUCCCGGACAUCAGCCUCCACAUCUGACUCCUGAGGGUUUCUGUGAGAGACAAGUUGCUUGUUAAAGAGGUUGCAGAACUUGAAGCUAAUUUACCUUGUACAUGUAAAGUAUAUUUUCCUGAUCCAAACAAGCUUCAUUGCUUUCAGCUGACUGUAAGCCCAGAUGAAGGUUACUACCAGGGUGGAAAAUUUCAGUUUGAAACUGAAGUUCCCGAUGCCUACAACAUGGUGCCUCCCAAGGUGAAAUGCUUGACUAAAAUCUGGCACCCCAACAUCACGGAAACGAGGGAAAUAUCUCUAAGUUUACUAAGAGAACAUUCGAUUGAUGGCACUGGCUGGGCUCCCACUAGAACAUUAAAGGAUGUUGUUUGGGGAUUAAACUCUUUAUUUACCGAUCUCUUGAAUUUUGAUGAUCCACUGAAUAUUGAAACUGCAGAACAUCAUUUGCGGGACAAGGAGGAUUUUCGGGACAAAGUGGAUGAAUACAUCAAACGCUAUGCCAGAUGAUAAGAGGAGAGAUCACAGGUCUGAGGACUUUGUCACAGUUGUCUCUAAUGUGAAACAGCUCGAGGUAGUCCUCCUCCCCAUCCUCAUACUCCCUGUCAGCCCCUUGGGAUUGUCCCAGUUCUGCGACCAUGCUGUCCUGAAGAAGACGCUCCUGACUGCCCACUAUAGGUGGUGAAGAACAUAAUACAGCAAGAAAGUGUGUCUGGGCCUCGAGAGAGUUGUCUGCUUCCCUUAACAUGUUUACUGAAACUACUGUCUAGGCUGUCUGGUGGAAUCCCUCCGAAGUUGUAAUGAACUCACCACUGAGGAGAUAGCGCUUGCUUCCUUUCCCCCAACAAUCGGUGUCCUGCACAAGUGGUGUAAUGACAUGUCCCAUGUGACUGGCAGAUUGGCAAUAAGAAACCCGCUAUAAACUGUGAAAAAAAA